GACGUAGGAGGCGAGCGUUGUCCGGAAUUACUGGGCGUAAAGAGCGCGUAGGCGGCCGUUUACGUGUGGGAUGAAAGCCCCCCUGCUCAACGGGGGGAGUGUUCCACAAACGGGGCGGCUUUGUGGAGUGUGGAGGGGGGAGUGCGGAACGGCCGGUGGAGCGGUGAAAUGCGUAGAGAUCGGCCAGAACACCAGUGGCGAAGGCGGCACUCUGAGCCACAACUGACGCUGAGGCGCGAAAGCGUGGGGAGCGAACGGA
rnacentral:rRNA from 1 species